GCAGAAAAACCGCAGGUACAUCCGGAGCCCAGCUCUCCUGCCACAACACCUGGAGCCCACUACAAGAGCCCAUCAGCAAAAGGAGCCGCCGCCGGGCCCG